rnacentral:lncRNA from 1 species
ACCCCGACUACUCUUCCAUUAGGAGCGCAUUACUGAAAUGAACACAUCUGGCCUGAUAUAGAGCCCAUAUUCACAUUUAGAUCCAUCCACAAACCUCAAGCUAAUUCUGAUCACACUGAAAUAGUCUAAUAACCCUUCAAAGGUCCAUAAUGACCCCCUUUUUCUCACAACACACAAGAGCAACCAUCAUAACCGGAGUAAUCCUCCAUAGUCCACAACCCAAUAAAUCGAGUGCCCUCCAUGCAUCAAUUCUCAAUUUAACGAUAUCACCACAAUCUUCAUACUUGGUUUAACUCUUCAAUCAAUCAAGUGACUACAUGCCACACUUAUACCACCUUCCCGUGGGGCACGCUCUCACAACCUUCCGUAACGGAUAACAGGUCUGUACACCCAGACCACCGGUUGCACUAACGCUGAAAAGCGAUCAAGAAUCCUUAGCCUGGAUGCAAAGCCUUUUUUCACAAAACACUGAUCUCAGGUGACGCUGAAGACAAUACUAACUUACUUUAAACAUCGAAACCCCUUUCCUACUCAUCCGAGCUCGUGACAUCCUUGUCAACACCAGAAUGCAACCUUGAUCCUCACUUCAAAUUCCAUACCACUCAUUGCACCUAACAUGCCAAUAUACGAUAGAACAUAAUUUUCAUCAUAACUCCGGAACCAUUAAUAGAUUAACAUUUCAUCAUAUAAGAACUUUUCACUUAACUCACUUCAGGAGAAUCAUAGCAACACAUAGGUGAAUUCUCAUAACUGUAGAAUGUGUCAAUCUCUAAGUAGUGGUCUAAGACACCAUAGCCCUCCCGGGAUCCGCCUAUACAUAACAGGCCAUAACAGUAGAAUGCUUCUGAAGAUCAUCAAUUACGGCGGCCGACAAGCCUCACACGUACCGCCACAAAUCACAUGCAUAACUUGAUCACGCUGAAGGGACUGAUCUCUACCACCGACAUGCCAACUCAACUAUGGCUAACCAAUCCAUCUUCUUUCGAUUUACCCUGAUUGCCUUACGAAUAAUAAUAACUCCUUUCAACACAUAACACACUCCAUUCGCACUCACCUCGAAUGACCUUGAAUCACGAGACCAUGCUGUCUCAAAUCCCUUGAACCAUUUCAUACGUUCUUUGUGCGCACAUUCGCACCCUCAACUGAUAUGCCCAUUCUGAUGAUCCUUCUACGAAUCCGAUAUCUUUUCUCAUUUUCCUCCCAAAUGCUAUACUGCAAGUCAAAACAUCGUAGAACAUUCAGUGCCUCUUCUCAUAAGCUGCUACAAAGCUUAAUUCUUAACUGUACCUAUAGGCUCGCAAUCAUUAGGCACCACACUUUGCCCCUUUGAAUCCUCUAGGACCAUUGUUGAGAGCCACCCGCUCUGACUUGGCCCCGGAUAUAAUCAACUCCAUGAAUCUUCUAGCACAUGAAUACCCUCUCGAUGAAGCACCUGGCAGAAUCACUUCCCUUGAAAUCCGCAUCUAUACAAGGCAUAAAUCCUGAAUCCUUCCCCAAGUCUGAACAUGGGCCAAUAAAGCCAACCAUAGCACCCCUUUUACAAUUUCUUUGCUCAAAUUACCACUUAUGUUCUUCCCCGUAGCUGAAAUAACCUAUCAAUAUGCUAAUAACCAGAAACCUCACAAGUAGUUAAUCAUGCAACCCAAUCAUAAGCGGUGGGACUCUCCCACUUAGCUUGAAGCCACUAUUACACUCUGGAAUUCACUGAGGUUCUUUAUCUCUUAUUGACAUAACCUUACGCAAUCAACCGCCAAAAUUCUCGGAAUUUUUUCUAUAAAACCCCCUUUUUAUACUCUGAAUUAUCAACCACAUUCGUAUGACCGAUCUCUUUGCUGUAUAACCAAUAGAAUUCUUUGCAGAAGCCUCGCCAACCACGGGACCGCUAACCUGGUCAAAGGGAAUAACCCACCUGUGGAAGUCACUUCCCGACAUCUUCCAACGCUGCUGCACGGGGUACAAUUGCUAUGACAUCGAUUACCCAUACUGAGUCCGAGCUCACUCUCUAGUUGCACAAGUACAUUCACCCCUCAUGGACAUCAAUUAAAUGUGUGGCAACAUCUUCUAAUUCAAAGUUAUGUUGUAUCCUUCUUCAUUUCAAGCAGCUCCUUCCUGUUAUAUCAAAUCUCUUGCCGCAUAAUAGCUCAUACUUCAAAUUAAAUCUGUAGACCCUAAUCACCAAUCACUAAAAUUCCCAAGUCAUUCCAAACUCUCCUUAAGGUGCAUAGUCAUCCUACCACAAUGCCCAUAUGCAACUCCGCCACUCUCCCACUUUGGCGGAACUCAUCCCUUUAAUCGGCUACUCGACCUUUGCUUCUUAUACUUGGCCUUCUAGAAAUUUUAGCCGCCGCCUGACACUCUCCACAUGUCCUUCCUCAUCCUUUACUGCUCAGUUGUUGCCAUAUAUAAAAUCUAUCUUUGUAGCACUUGAACCCACAAUCGCUACUAACUUUAAACAUUUCUGAAGAUCAUCUUUCUCAAGCCGUCAACAUUAGAAACACCGAUUCAAUCCUGAACCACCACACCCCGCGAUAUCUAACAGUCAUUUCUCCAAUAUUAUUUCACAAUGUCCUACUCCAAGGCGAAUUGCAGAAGACCAUAACACCGGCGAACUUAACACAUACAAUCGAGGACAACGACACUACAUCGUAGAUGAAAAUUCCAUCACGCUCGAAAAUAUCAAGUCUCGUUACCCCAUCAACCCGAAUCUGAACAUUUUUAGCCCGAUUGCCUUUCCCCUGCCGGGAAUAAAAUACCGAAUCUCUAGAUCAUGCACUAAGUAAACCUCCCUUCAAGUCAUUCCCUGCCCCGAUAAGUAGGAAAACAUCCUACCAUCAUAUCAAUACUACGGAACAAUCAUUCAUAAGCAUCAUGGCAACUUGUGCCUAGCCUCAGAGCUCUCAGAAGUACCGCUACUGGGCUGAAACAAUAGAAUAUCCUUCCACAAGGCGAAAAUAAUAGUCCAAUCAACUAUACCGGUAGAAACACCCCGCACCACAUCUGUAGUACCAUUUCAAUUAUUAAAUCCUCGAUUUACAACAAGCGAUUCGCGUCGCGUAAGAUUGAGUAGGAAGGAAACAAGGGCAUAAGCCUCGAGGAAUCAAAUCGCACGACAAGGAAUCAAGAAGGGAAGUACUCCUAACAGCCCUGUAGCCUCCCGAAGAUAAGUACAGACGUCUCCAUACCAAACCGCGAGACUCUACUAGACUUGCUCAUGACUCGUGAGACCUAAGGGAACCUAGUACUCUGAUACCAUGUUGUCACGACCCAAAAUUCACUAAGGGUCGUGAUGGCGCCGGACACCAUUGUCAGGCAAGCCAACCACAAUUUACUAGCAAUUUCUCAUUUUAAUUAUUUAGAAAACAUUUCCCUUUAAACAAAUAACUAAUAAAUAAUAAACUCCGCUGGAUAAAUGAGGAUGUUUUUACAAAAUUUAACUACUGAAAAAUCCCGUGAUCAUCCCAGAUCCGGUAUCACAACUGCAUGAGCAAUUUCUAAGAAAUAAUGUAGUACAACAACCAUCCGGAAUACAAUACUGGACAAAAAAUAAAUACAGUAAUCUGAAAGAGACUUGCUAGCUGCGGGUCGUCUCGGAAAUGCAGCUCACCUAAGUCUCUAUGUCAACCAUGCUGCUACGCUCACUAGGGCACUAGAGAUGCAUGUGCAUGUACAACAAAGAUGCACAGAAGUAUAGUAUGAGUACAAAAGACAACGUGUACCCAAUGAGUAUCCCGUCUAAUCUCGAAGAAGUAGAGACGAGAGGUCGACUUCGACACUUACUACUGGUCCAAUAAUGUUAUAUCAAAUAUAAAUUAAAUCGUGGAUUUUUAUAAACAUGAUUAUAGUCCGAUAGGUUGAAGCAAGUAAACAAUUCUCUCUUUUAUAGGAAAUUUCUAAAUUCCUUUUCAACAUUUAUACAUAUAUUCUUAAGCGAGGAAGAGGAAACAACAACUUUAAUAAGUUUCAAGGCAAGCAAUACAAGCAUGCACAAAUCAUGUCGAGGUCAUACGACCCGAUCCAACAUAAAUGUAAAAUGUGUACUACCGAGGGUCGAACGACGCGAACCAUAGAUGCAUCUAUUACCCCGCUCGCGAACGAUACAUGCGACGCGGUCAAAUUUAAAUAAAUAAUCACCCUGUUCGCGAAUCAUACAUGCGACGCAUGUACACAUAGAAAUAUAUGCUCAAACAGCCAAUUAAGAAUUUGUCGGGGAACAUUUAUCCAAAUAAAAGCCAAUUCUCUUUUAAUAAUUUAAGAAAAUGAAGUUUAAUCCUUUUAAAAAUUCAUUUACCAAUUCGAUAAGAUUUAAGCAAUUCAACUGUCAAUAAGAUUACAGAUAUUCCAAGUAUAGCAUGUUUUUGGGUCCAAGACUAUCCUGGCUUACACAUAUUAGUAUCUACGCACGGACUCUCGUCACCUCGUACGUAUGUAGCCCCCACAAAUAGGAGCACAUAACCAAUUAUUUCACCUGUGGGGACAAUUCCAUCUUACAAGGUUAGAAAGGAGACUCACCUCGCUCCGAAGAUCCAUAACCGGCCUCCCACGCCCUUCUGAAGACUCAAAUUGAUUCCUAACGCUCCAAAACUAGCCAAUAAUUAUGCAAAUUCAUCAAUAUAUGCUCAGUUAUUCAUUACAAUCCAAUUUAUAGCAAUUCCUAACCCCGAUUGAAAAAGUUGACAAAAUUGCCCUCGGGCCCACGUGCCCGGAUUCCUAAAUUUUUCGAAGAUAAAGUUUACCCAUGGACUCACAAACUCAACUAUAUGAUUUUCUCUUAAUUUCACGCCCAAAAUAGUUGUCAAAAUUCAUGAAUAUCAAAUUUUCUAGGUCUUCCUCAAAACCCCAAAUUUUCUAGGUCUUCCUCAAAACCCCAAAUUUUCUAUAGAUUUCCUUGUCUAAAUCCAUAUAUAAACCUUGUAUUUAUUCAAAACUAGUAGAAAUCACUUACCUCAUUCUUGGUGAUGAAAAUGGCACUCCAAAGUUGCUCCAAAAUCAACUCCCAUGGAAGAAAUAAAGUGAAAAUGAGUCAAGCUCCGAUUUUAAAAGAACACUACCCAUGCGACCCUUCUAUGCGAUUGCAAACAAUGCUCCGCGAUUGAAUAGGCCAACUAUGCUGCCUCCCUAAUUCCUUAUGUGCAUUCGCAUGCUAGCUCCUGCGUUCGCACAGGCCAAACGCAUCACAGCCUCCAAACGCCCACUGUGCGAUUGCAACUCCAACCCCGCGAUCGCAUAAGCCUUCAACCUGUAGCCCCAGCCUUCCUCAUCCACGAUCGCAUUGCACUUCCUGCGAUCGCAUAGGCCAAAUUCCAGCUCCCUCAAUUCUUGCUCUAUGCGAUCGCAGACCCGCUCACGCAAUUGCAUAGAGUAAAAACCUGCUGCACUCAUACCAAAAAGCCAGCAAUCCUCAUAAGGCAAGAAUCGAUCCGUUGAGCAUCCGAAACACGCCCGAGGCCCCCGGGACCUCAACGAAACCUACCAACCAAUCCCAAAAUACAUUUCGGACUUGCUCGAGGCCUCAAAAAAUGCUAAAACCACGAAUCAACCUCAAUCCAAGCUUCAUGAACUUUAGAAUUUCAAACUUCUACAUUCGAUGCCAAAACCCGUCAAAUCACGUCCGAUUGACCUCAAAUUUUGCAUGCAAGUCAUAUUCGACAUUACGGACCUACUCCAACUUCCAGAAUCGGAUUCCGACCCCGAUAUCAAAAAGUCCACUUCUGGUCAAACUUCUCAAAAACCUUCAAAUUUCUAUCUUUAGCCACAUGACUCCAAAAUGACCUACGGACCUUCGAAUUCACUUCCGAUCGCGCUCCCAACUCCA